UUACAAAUUAAAGAAUUUAUUUAUUCACACUCAGUUAUCAGUGCACAAUUUACAAUCACUGCAUUAUUAACUCACAAUGAGAGAGAGUAUAAUUUACUGUUGUAAUGGUUAGGAUGCUACAAAAUACAGCUAACAAAUGAUUUUUAUUAUGAUUAUUCAUAAUUUCAUAAAUUUUCUCAUGUUUUUAAGUUGCAUGAGUUAUUUCCCUUUGACCAAUAACAAACAGAUAAGGCCUAGAUUAAUAUAUUGUUUGUUUCCCCAAUCCCGACCCUGCCGAGCCAGGUGUGGGUAGGUAGGUAGGGAAAUAAUUUUAUUUUCCGAAAAGCUUGAACAUUAUCGGACGAUCCAGCAAGCCUGAAAAUCAGAAAUGAAUAAAAUAAUAUUUGACUUACUUUUGACAAUAAAAUUUCAUGAAUAGCACCAUUUUUGCAGGGUCGGUCGGGAUUGGGGAAACAAACAAUAUUUUAUUUUAGGCCUAAUAAAUCAAUUAAAAUGAAGUUUACACUGUUUAAUUGUAUUUUUUAGUAUACUGAAUCUAAUAUCUGUCAAAAAAAUGUAAAAUUAUUUAUAGCAUAAUUUUGUAGCACCUAACUUAAACAGUUGUCUGAACAUGAUUAAUGUGGUCAUAACAGUAACAACAGACAUACACAAACUAAAACAACAAAAUCUCAGCCAUCCAAUCAUGUCAUACUAGCAUACAGAACAGCCCCUAACAUAGGAACACAUCAGCUACCUAUUAAUAUAUCAACAAAUUAUUCCUCAAAUCAAAAAAUAAGUAGAUUACUUGAUAUAGCACCAUUGGAAUUACAAAAAUGAAAAAUUAUAGUUCACGAUCUUAAGACAAUUAUAUUCAUUUUUGAAAU
rnacentral:lncRNA from 1 species